rnacentral:rRNA from 1 species
AGAGUUUGAUCAUGGCUCAGGAUGAACGCUAGCGGCAGGCUUAAUACAUGCAAGUCGAGGGGCAGCAGGUUUGUAGCAAUACAGAUGCUGGCGACCGGCAAACGGGUGCGGAACACGUACACAACCUUCCUUUAAGUGGGGAAUAGACCAGGGAAACUUGGAUUAAUACCCCGUAACAUUAUGAAGUGGCAUCACUUUAUAAUUAUAGCUCCGGCGCUUAAUGAUGGGUGUGCGGCUGAUUAGGUAGUUGGCGGGGUAACGGCCCACCAAGCCUGCGAUCAGUAACUGGUGUGAGAGCACGACCAGUCACACGGGCACUGAGACACGGGCCCGACUCCUACGGGAGGCAGCAGUAAGGAAUAUUGGUCAAUGGACGCAAGUCUGAACCAGCCAUGCCGCGUGGAGGAUGAAGGUCCUCUGGAUUGUAAACUUCUUUUAUCUGGGACGAAAAAGGGCCUUUCCAGGUCAACUGACGGUACCAGAUGAAUAAGCACCGGCUAACUCCGUGCCAGCAGCCGCGGUAAUACGGAGGGUGCAAGCGUUAUCCGGAUUCACUGGGUUUAAAGGGUGCGUAGGUGGGCAGGUAAGUCAGUGGUGAAAUCCCCAAGCUUAACUUGGGAACUGCCAUUGAUACUAUUUGUCUUGAAUACCGUGGAGGUGAGCGGAAUAUGUCAUGUAGCGGUGAAAUGCUUAGAUAUGACAUAGAACACCAAUUGCGAAGGCAGCUUGCUACGCGAAUAUUGACACUGAGGCACGAAAGCGUGGGGAUCAAACAGGAUUAGAUACCCCCGUAGUCC